AGCAGGCGCGCAAAUUACCCAAUCCCGACACGGGGAGGUAGUGACAAUAAAUAACAAUACGGGGUUCUUUAGGAUCUCGUAAUUGGAAUGAGUACAAUUUAAAUCUCUUAACGAGGAACAAUUGGAGGGCAAGUCUGGUGCCAGCAGCCGCGGUAAUUCCAGCUCCAAUAGCGUAUAUUAAAGUUGUUGCAGUUAAAAAGCUCGUAGUUGAAUUUCGGGGUUAGNAGGUUGGUCAUGCCUCUGGUAUGUACUGGUCUCACUGAUUCCUCCUUCCUUAUGAACCGUAAUGCCAUUAAUUUGGUGUUGCGGGGAAUUUGGACUGUUACUUUGAAAAAAUUAGAGUGUUUAAAGCAAGCUAACGCUUGAAUACAUUAGCAUGGAAUAAUGAAAUAGGACGUUCGAUCUUAUUUUGUUGGUUUCUAGGAUUGACGUAAUGAUUAAUAGGGAUAGUUGGGGGCAUUAGUAUUCAAUUGUCAGAGGUGAAAUUCUUGGACUUAUUGAAGACUAACUACUGCGAAAGCAUUUGCCAAGGAUGUUUUCAUUAAUCAAGAACGAAAGUUAGGGGAUCGAAGACGAUCAGAUACCGUCGUAGUCUUAACCAUAAACUAUGCCGACUAGGGAUCGGAUGAUGUUAAUUUUUUAAUGACUCAUUCGGCGCCUUACGGGAAACCAAAGUGUUUGGGUUCA
rnacentral:rRNA from 1 species